GGGUGUGGAGCUCAGUGGUAAAACAUGUGCCUAAUAUGCACAAUGCCCUGGAUUUGAUCCCCAGCACCCCUC
rnacentral:tRNA from 1 species